rnacentral:rRNA from 1 species
ACGGAGGGUGCAAGCGUUGUUCGGAAUCAUUGGGCGUAAAGCGCGUGUAGGCGGUCACCUAAGUCUGGUGUGAAAUCCCGGGGCUCAACCCCGGAAGUGCAUUGGAUACUGGGUGGCUAGAGGACGAGAGAGGGAAGCGGAAUUCCUGGUGUAGGGGUGAAAUCCGUAGAUAUCAGGAGGAACAUCGGUGGCGAAGGCGGCUUCCUGGCUCGUACCUGACGCUGAGACGCGAAAGCGUGGGGAGCAAACAG